rnacentral:rRNA from 1 species
CGGCGGGGUAACGGCCCACCGAGGCGACGAUGCGUAGGGGUUCUGAGAGGAAGGUCCCCCACACUGGUACUGAGACACGGACCAGACUCCUACGGGAGGCAGCAGUGAGGAAUAUUGGUCAAUGGGCGGGAGCCUGAACCAGCCAAGUCGCGUGAGGGAAGACGGUCCUAUGGAUUGUAAACCUCUUUUGCCGGGGAGCAACGGGGUCCUUGCGAGGGCCUAAUGAGAGUACCCGGAGAAAAAGCAUCGGCUAACUCCGUGCCAGCAGCCGCGGUAAUACGGAGGAUGCGAGCGUUAUCCGGAUUUAUUGGGUUUAAAGGGUGCGUAGGCGGGCUGUUAAGUCAGCGGUCAAAUGUCGGGGCUCAACCCCGGCCUGCCGUUGAAACUGGUGGCCUCGAGUGGGCGAGAAGUAUGCGGAAUGCGUGGUGUAGCGGUGAAAUGCAUAGAUAUCACGCAGAACUCCGAUUGCGAAGGCAGCAUACCGGCGCCCGACUGACGCUGAGGCACGAAAGCGUGGGUAUCGAACAGGAUUAGAUACCCUGGUAGUCCACGCAGUAAACGAUGAAUGCUAGCUGUCC